GCUAAAACUGCGUAAGAGUUUUUGGGAAAGCAUUACCGAGAAGAAGCUACAGGAGCUCAAAAGGACACCUUUGAAUUAGCCAUCAGCUUUGCUAAGAAGUAAUCCAGUACAAAGGGGGUGAUAAAUGCUUCAAGAAAAGCUUGGGCUUCUUUCCUUCAUGAAAAUGUGAAAUGCGUGUAACUCUCAGGUGUGGAUGGAGAAAAGGGGUGGACUCAAAUUUACCUGGCUUAACUACAGGGUGAAUCAGAUUAUGAAUUCCCAGUGGAAGGCCAGCAGUUCAGCUAAAAAACAUGCACCUGCUUAAUCCAAGAUGAUAUGCAAGCACAGCGAGGUGGAAAUUAAAUGCACCACUCCUCCAGCAAUAGUUUCCUACAAGGUGAUACUUACGAGGACAAAGGAAAACAAAGACACAACCUUGUCAUUUGAAGGAGGAUUCGUGAUUUGCCCUGAUGAAACUGAUUUGCUAUGGCCUUUUCCCAGUCAGUAGUGGGUUUUCUGGUUUUGUUUUGUUGUUGGUUUUUGUUUUUUUUUUCACAGAGGAAAAAAUAACUA